rnacentral:lncRNA from 1 species
GUGUAGAGCGUCUGCUUGGUGAUGCUACUCAGAUCUACAUUCCUCCAGUCCUCCAGCAUCUGGAACGUGAUGUCUGCACUGUGGAUCACCGUUCGAGAAGCCUGGAAUCCAAUCCAACCAACUUGUCAGCACAUAGGCUGUGGGGUUAAAAGCCCUCCUCCCUGUGCCCCGAGUGCCUUCUGAGUGGGUGUGCUUAUAGCAUUUUUAAACUAUACUGAAAGCCAGGGAAACUCAAUUUCAAGGAACAAUACCAUAGCUCAGAAGAUCCAGAGAGGAACUCGUUCUUCCCAAGCCUCUCUCCUCUCCCUGCUUCAUGCCCACCGAGGUGACCUGGGCUGGGCCAUACCCUGCUGUUGUUUCUAAUCCCCUUUUGCUUAUGACCCCCAGCAAUGGGAUGAGGCGUGGAGCUCUGUCAGUUUUCUGAUGUGAGCUGGUAGGAAGUAGUUCUGUGUUUAAUAACCUGUGUUGACAGGACCACACUGAGGAGACACCACACAGAGGAAACAUGGGCUAACCUGGGCCUGACUGAUACCCAGAAGCCUCACAGUGCGUAUUUUUUUCACACAAAUGUUAUUAUCAUGCA